rnacentral:rRNA from 1 species
GUAGGUGGCAAGCGUUGUCCGGAAUUAUUGGGCGUAAAGCGCGCGCAGGCGGUUCUUUAAGUCUGAUGUGAAAGCCCACGGCUCAACCGUGGAGGGUCAUUGGAAACUGGAGAACUUGAGUACAGAAGAGGAAAGCGGAAUUCCACGUGUAGCGGUGAAAUGCGUAGAGAUGUGGAGGAACACCAGUGGCGAAGGCGGCUUUCUGGUCUGUAACUGACGCUGAGGCGCGAAAGCGUGGGGAGCAAACAGGAUUAGAUACCCUGGUAGUCCACGCCGUAAACGAUGAGUGCUAAGUGUAGGGGGUUUUCCGCCCCCCUUAGUGCUGCAGCUAACGCAUUAAGCACUCCGCCUGGGAGUACGGCCGCAAGGCUG